rnacentral:rRNA from 1 species
AACGAACGCUGGCGGCAUGCCUAACACAUGCAAGUCGAACGAGACCUUCGGGUCUAGUGGCGCACGGGUGCGUAACGCGUGGGAACCUGCCCUUAGGUUCGGAAUAACUCUCCGAAAGGGGUGCUAAUACCGGAUAAUGUCUUCGGACCAAAGAUUUAUCGCCUUUGGAUGGACCGGCGUGGGAUUUGCUAGUUGGUAGGGUAAAAGCCUACCAAGGCUUGGAUCCAUAGCUGGUCAGAGAGGAAGAUCAGCCACACUGGGACUGAGACACGGCCCAGACUCCUACGGGAGGCAGGAGUGGGGGAUAUAGGACAAUGGGGGAAAGGCUGAACCAGCAAUGCCGGGUGAGUGAUGAAGGCCGUAGGGUUGUAAAGCUCUUUUAACCGGGAUGAUAAUGACAGUACCGAGAGAAUAAGCUCCGGCUAACUACGUG